UACAGAGGUCUCAAGCGUUGUUCGGAUUCAUUGGGCGUAAAGGGCGCGUAGGUGGUUCUGUAUGUCUACCGUGAAAGCGUACGGCUCAACCGUAUUUUGUCGGUGGAAACUGCAGGACUCGAGGCUGGGAGGGGCUGGUGGAAUUCCCUGUGUAGCGGUGAAAUGCGUAGAGAUGGGGGAGAACACUCGUGGCGAAGGCGGCCAGCUAGACCAGUUCUGACACUGAGGCGCGACAGCGUGGGGAGCAAACAGG
rnacentral:rRNA from 1 species